rnacentral:rRNA from 1 species
CCUACGGGUGGCUGCAGUGAGGAAUAUUGGUCAAUGGACGCAAGUCUGAACCAGCCAAGUAGCGUGCAGGAUGACGGCCCUCCGGGUUGUAAACUGCUUUUAGUUGGGAAUAAAAGGGGGCUCGUGAGCCCCGUAUUGUAUGUACCAUCAGAAAAAGGACCGGCUAAUUCCGUGCCAGCAGCCGCGGUAAUACGGAAGGUCCGGGCGUUAUCCGGAUUUAUUGGGUUUAAAGGGAGCGUAGGCCGGCUUUUAAGUCAGCUGUGAAAGUCCGCGGCUCAACCGUGGAAUUGCAGUUGAAACUGGCAGUCUUGAGUACAGUAGAGGUGGGCGGAAUUCGUGGUGUAGCGGUGAAAUGCUUAGAUAGCACGAAGAACUCCGAUUGCGAAGGCAGUUCACUGGACUGCAACUGACACUGAGGCUCGAAAGUGUGGGUAUCAAACAGGAUUAGAUACCCCUGUAGUC